GAUGAACGCUAGCGGCAGGCUUAACACAUGCAAGUCGAGGGGCAGCACGGGUAGCAAUACCUGGUGGCGACCGGCGCAAGGGUGCGUAACGCGUGAGCAACAUGCCCUAUACAGGGGGAUAAUCCAGGGAAACUUGGUCUAAUAUCCCAUAGCAUUUAGAGGAGGCAUCUUCACUAAAUUAAAGCUUCGGUGGUAUAGGAUUGGCUCGCGUGACAUUAGCUAGAUGGUGAGGUAACGGCCCACCAUGGCUAUGAUGUCUAGGGGUUCUGAGAGGAAGACCCCCCACACUGGGACUGAGACACGGCCCAGACUCCUACGGGAGGCAGCAGUGAGGAAUAUUGGACAAUGGAUGGAAAUCUGAUCCAGCCAUGCCGCGUGCAGGAAGACGGCCCUAUGGGUUGUAAACUGCUUUUAUAUGGGAGCAAUAAGGUUUACGAGUAGACCGAUGAGAGUACCAUAUGAAUAAGCAUCGGCUAACUCCG
rnacentral:rRNA from 1 species